GCUAGUGUGACCCAAUAUUUUUUUCCAAAAAUCAAAAGUAUAACCAUCGGCACGAAGUCAAUAAAUUUCUAAAGUCUAGCAUAGCUAGUAGAUUUAGAAUACCUAUGCUUCCACCAUCAACUCCACUUUCUAUAAUGAUCCAUUGCUUAAUAGGUCUAUCUAUUCCUAUCAUCCUCAAUACUCCAUUUACAUUUAUCUAUACCCAGUUCGUCAAACUUACCACACGUUAUGAGUUCAGGAACUUGUCACAAUCAUAUGAGUUUAAGAACUUAUCCUAGUCAGACCAUAGGUGUCCAUUCGCUGAG
rnacentral:lncRNA from 1 species